ensembl:lncRNA
GUGAGAAGCGUUUGAAUUCGCGGAAUUUUCUGUUUUAAAAGUUCACAAUUCAGACGAAAGAGCGCAGCCAUAAAUGGAUUUCUUUGUAAAGGAAAGAUUACAACAGUGGAACCUCUGCAAUUUAAUAGAAACAUUUCAAGAGCUUCAGUGUUUACAGUACUGGCCAAUGCAUGCGUGUGAUGCUGACGGAGGAGCCGUUCAAUAAUGAGUCAGCGUUUGGAUGUGAGUACACGGAAGCUCUGAACUGCAUUCACUACGUCAACUGCGUUGGUACUAAUAUGGUGCACUACCUCAAUAAUGAGACAAGCCAGGAUCCACAUGUCUUGGUGCUUGGAGACAAAGAAAAUUCCUCCCAAGUUUUUAUCAUUUUCAUUGGAGAGGCAGUUGAAAAGGAGACCUUACUUCAAGCAGUGAACGUAUGCUUCAAAAUGUUCUACAUCUAUGACAUAAACUACCCAAAGCCCUCUCCUCCAAUUUGGGAGUUCUUGCAGCAUGCAGUCUAUAAUAUUCCUGGAGGAGUUCCUUUUGCACAUUGCUGCCUCCUAAAAAACUUUGUAUUCAAAGUUACUGAUCAUCAGUAGAUCCAGUAGCCAAAACACAAAUUAAAGGGUUAGUUCACACAAAAAUGAAAAUUCUGUCAUUAAUUACUCACCCUCAUGUUGUUCCAAACCCAAGACCUCCGUUCAUCUUUGGAACACAAAUUAAGAUAUUUUUGCAUUCUGACAGCUCUCUGACCCUCCCAUAGACAGCAAGGGUCCUUACACCAUC